UUGAUCCUGGCUCAGAAUCAACGCUGGCGGCGUGCCUCAGACAUGCAAGUCGAACGAUUAAAGCUCUCUUCGGAGAGUGCAUAGAGUGGCGCACGGGUGUGUAACACGUAAGUAAUCUACCUUCGAGUGGGGAAUAACAUCGGGAAACCUAUGCUAAUACCGCAUAAUGCAGCGGCAUCGCAAGAUGACAGUUGUUAAAUAUUUAUCGCUUGAAGAGGAGCUUGCGGCAGAUUAGCUAGUUGGUAAGGUUAUGGCUUACCAAGGCUACGAUCUGUAACCGGUCUAAGAGGACGGUCGGUUACACUGACACUGAAUAACGGGUCAGACUCCUACGGGAGGCAGCAGUCGGUAAUUUUGGGCAAUGGGCGAAAGCCUGACCCAGCAACGCCGUGUGAAGGAUGAAGUAUUUCGGUAUGUAAACUUCGAAAGAAUAGGAAGAAUAAAUGACGUUACUAUUUAUAAGGUCCGGCUAACUACGUGCCAGCAGCCGCGGUAAUAAUGU
rnacentral:rRNA from 1 species